CCACCAUACCCACCAUCUCCACCAUCCCUAACUUCUUUAGAGAGAGAGAGAGAGAGAAAAAGCUCACCUGAGCUUGUCGCCGGAGCAACCGUGUGCCGUGAUCACGUUCAGCUUGCCACCACCGAUAAACGCCCUAGACCACCAUCGUGUUCCUCUCGUCGAGACGAAGCCGUAGACACCAACCACGCCUCAAUCGGAGCCCGCUCGAAGCCGCACGCGCCUCCGGAAGUUUCGCCUCUACGCGCGCAUGAGGUACACACGCCGCCGCCGUCCGCCGGAGCCACCGCGAAUUCCGGCCACUCGCCGCCGUCUCCGACCAACGUUCGCCGGAGCCGCCGUGACCGACCACCGUCCGUUCGCCGCCGAGAAGCUGCCACCGCGUCGCCGCCUCGCCGCCGUCGCCGCCGUUGACUUUCCGGAAACCGCCGCGUCGCCAUCGCCGCCGGUGACCGACACCGGUGACUCGCCGGCGACUCGCCAACUCGGCCGAGUCAACCCGGUGAGUCAACUCGGUGACUCGGUCAACCGGUGGUUUGACCGGUUUAAAUCGAUUUCGAUUCGGUUAGGUUAAACCGGUUGGUUAAAAUCAAUUGGAAAUCGGUUAGGAAAAACCGGAUUAAUUAAUUAAUUAAUUAAUUAAUUAAAUAAUUAAUCUUUAACCAGCGGGUUGACUUUCCCGUAAAUACCCGUUUUAAACCGUUCGAAAGGCGUUCUGACUCGAAAUUUCGAUCUGAUUUCAGAUUUGGAGUCCAUUUGAGCAGCUGGAGUUCAUAGAUAUCACUUCUUAUUGCUAAGGUGAGGGUCUAUUCCCGAACUUCUCGUACACGGCUUAAAACCUCGAAUAAAUAUAAUUUAUUUCUAAUGUGUUCCGUCUGUGUGAAAUCGAGUCUAUCAUUGCUUGUUUAGUUUUAGGUUCUUUGCAUAAACCGGAACUAGGGGGUUAGAGGAUUCAACAUUGAUUGUUUCACUUAAUGUAAAUUCUUAGCUAGGAUUGUUUUUUGUUUGGAGACGGAUACAGAGACGGACUUAUGUAUGCUGGAUUGUAUGGAGGUCACAGCCAACUUUAGUCGACCGGUUGAGCUGUAGACUGGAAGUGUCGAUAAAUCGUCUACGGGCGUGUGUUACCGAGCACUUUUUCGGUGUGUGUAUGAACCGAGCACCUUUUCGGUAGUGUUUUGGCCUGUUAGUGGGCGGCGAGUGUGCACCUCGCUAGGACCAUUGUUUGUUGCUUGAGUACUUUAGGUACUGUGUUUGACAUGCAUUAGAAUUAAAUUAUAUUUAUUCGGAGUGCUAUGUCCGGGUCCAUGGACUUCGGGGUGGCAUCCCAUACCUCGCUGAGCGAUUCCCCUGUCGCUCACCCCUCACUCUUCCACUUUUCAGGUGAGACAAACAAGUAUGUGAUAUUUGGACGGACUUGGUGCUAUUGGACUUUUCUUUCGGAUUUUUAUUUGGGCAUGGGUGAGAGUUGUCGGGUUUAUGGGCUUUUAUAUUACGGGAUAUUGUUGGUGGCCCGUCGUCCUUAGUGUCAGGGAGACGGGUGUCACAUUGUUGUAUGAUGACGCGUCGGGGGUGACACGCUGUCCUCCAUAUAGGAGGUGACGGGUGUCACAAUUUGGUAUCAGAGCGGGUUCCAUCCCGGUUCCGUCCCGGGAUGGCGGUCAGGGGAUUCGGUUUUCAUCGGUUUUCAACAUUCUUUUUGUUUUAAAAAAAUAUAUAUUUAUUUAUAUAUUUGAAAAUUCUUUUAGCACCAUUAUGUCCAGUAAUUACUAACUCAAAUGUCUCUUUCUAUGACGAUGAGUAAAAUCAUCGUCAUUCGUCCUUCGACUAUCAGAGUUCUCGCCAGAUGUUCAGUAGUUGCGUGAAGUCCAAGUUCGUCAGUUUUCUCGGGAGUUAUCAGUUUCUCGAUCAUGAUUUCGAGGCUAUCCAGGAGUGGAUAUGUGACGUUUCUGCCACCAGCCCACUUCAAGCAAUCGUUCCACGAGUUUUGUUACUGGAGAUUAUGUGGUGUGUGGUAUGAGCCAUUGGUUGGCAUGUGUUGUUGUGUGUACGAGUAUAUUGACUAUUUUGGAGAUAUAUUGGUUUUGUGAACUCGUGGAGAUCGCUUUUGAAUUGGGGUGCAGCAGCUUGCGUUGUGUGGGUGUUGGAGUUACACUUUGGUAUGUUUACCAAUUUUGGCAGUGUUGAUCGUUUCAGAGAUGUGUCGGUUUGGACAAUUGAUAUAGGACAUUGGGAGCUGUUUAUGUCCAUCGCAGUGUACCAGUUAUGCUUGGAGGGCCGAUUUGUUCGGAUAUUCAUCAGAGAUGGAGCUACGUUUUUACGAUGUUAUCCUUGGGAUGGAUUGACUGUCACGGCAUCAAGUAGCGUUGGAUUGCCUGAGGGCAAGAGUUCCGAUUGCUGGAGAAGAUGGAAGUUGUUAGUGCAUGCAUGCUACAUACUGAGGAGUUAUGGGAUACAAGGACAGAGAGAUUUUUGACUACCAUCUCGAUGGUUAAGGAUGAUGGACAACAUGAGCUGCAGGAUCUUCCGGUUAUUGCAGAGUAUGAGGACAUAUUUGUGACCUUUGGAACGGUCACCACAUGACACGUGAGAAACUCUUGCGAUUUGUUUGGAGCAAACAGCACCAGUUUCACAAGUUUUAUACCGAUUAGCACCAACAGAGAUGACAAAGCUGAAAGAGCAUGUUGAAGAUUCAUCAGACAAGGGUUUUAUCAGACCGGGUACUUUACCGUGGGGAAUAUCAUCAUUGUUGUUGUAAAGAAGAAAGGUGGGAGUUUCAAUUUUGUAUCGACUACAAAGGUCUGAACAAAGUGACCAUUAAAGAUAAGUAUCACUUCCGCGCGUUGAUGAAUUAUUGGAUUAUUUACAGGAAGUUUAUAGUUCUUGAAGGUUGACAUGGCAUCAGAACACCAUCAGAUUACUAUAUUUGAAGAGUAUCUACUGAAUGUGAAUUUUUGUAUACAUUAUGGAUAUUAUGGGAUACAGUGAUACCAUUUGGCUCGACAAAGGCACUGUUGCAUUCAUGAAGAUAUGAAUGACGUUUUCGUGAACAUUUGGAUAGGUGUGCGAUUGUAUUCAUCGAUGACAUCCUGAUUUAUUUUGGAGUAGAAAGGAGAUUUGUGAGCAUUUCGCGGAUUGCGUUGGAUAAGCCUGGAGAGCAUCAGUUGUUUGCUAAGUUGAGGAUGUGUAGCUUCUGGCAGAGGAAUGUUGUAUUUUUGGGUAACAUGGUUUUGGAAUCAGAAUUUUGAUGGAUCCAAAGAAGAUUAAUACCGUUUCGGGAAGGUCAAAACCUAAGAGCGCUACAAAGAUCUGCCGUUCUUUUUGGGUUAAUAGUGUACUACUGGAAGUUCAUCAAGGGUUUCACCGGUAUAGUAAUGUUAAAGACGCGGUCUACAUGUAAAGACGUUAAGUGUGGUUGGAUAGAUUUUUGUUCGAGGAGUUUCACUGAAUUGAAGCACAACUAAUGAAGACACCAGUUUUGGGUUCUACUGAGGCUGAGGCUUACUGUGAUGUGUCAGAUACUGGAUUGGAUUUAAAUUAAGGUAUGAGGAUUAAGUCAUUCAUAUGCAUCACGCCAGAGAGGCUGUAGUGGUAUUUGCGUUAUCGUUUUGGAGAUCGUAAUUGUACGGGAAGGAAGUUCAGAUUCUCUGGGAUUAUUAGAAUGUGAAAUUUAUCUUCAUUUAUUAAAAACUUGUACUUGGGCAGUGCAGUUGGAUUGAGUUUGUAACAGGCUAUAGUCUGGAUAUCGCAUACUAUCUGGUAAGGACAACCAGGUGAUAAAUGCCUUGGGUAGGCGUAUGAGCUGUAUCCCAGGAACCAAGAAGGUUCAUGAGUUGGAGAUUUGCUAAUCUCAGAUUGUGUGUUAUUACUGUCAAAGGAAAGACAUAUGACCUUAAGGUUUGGAGCAGGCAGUUUUGCUAUGGAGGAUACACAAGCACGAGUUAGCAUUAUGGAUUUGGUUGAACAGAUCGAGAUUGGGAGUAUUGGAUAUCAUACAGCUUUGAGCAGGAUAUACUUGUACCGAAACCGAGUUUGUGUGUUGGACGAUAAGUUGAUAAGAAAAGGAAUCUUACAGCAAACAUAUCACUCGUGUUUCUCUACGCAUCGGGAAGACCAAAGGGUACAAAGAUAUGAAGAGUUAACUAUAAUUGGUGUAGUAUGAAGAUGUUUGUAACUACAUUGCGUCGCGGUGCCAGACAUGUUAUAUGGCAAUGACAGAGGAUCAGUCAUCUAUCAUGAUUAUUUUUGAGCUUGCUUUUGCCGGAGUAGAAAUGAGGCAUGGUGAUUAUGAACAUUGUUAUUGGAUUUUAAAUCACCAUAUGUGGAAAGGAUGCCACAUGGGUAGUCAUGGAUAGACUUACCAAGUCAGCCCAUUUCCUAAGUAAUUAAGAAGACAAUCAGAGCUAAUUAAUUGGAGCAGACCUACAUUAUUGAGUUUGGGAAGUUUCAUUGAUGUCAACAUUGUAUCGGAUUGGGAAUCGAAGUUCACAUCUACAUUUCAGAGAGCCUUUCGGAAGGCACUUGGGACAAAGAUCAUAUGAGUACAUCUUAUCACCCGUUGACAUAUUGUCAGUCAGAGAGGACUACUCAGAACUUAAAGGAUAUGUUCAGAGAUUGCGUGGGAUGGAAUUUCAGAAAGCAUCUACCUAUACCAGAGUUUGCCUAUAUCGACAGCUAUCUUUUGAGUAAAAAAAAAAAAAAAAAUUUAUAUGAGGGUUAUUUAUGGUAGACCUUAUAGUAUACCACUUUGUUGGACCAAAGUGGGGGAGCAAUAUGAGUUAGAACUAUUAAUGGUUCAAGAGACAGUAGAGCAAAGGACAUACUCAAGGAUUGGCUUUCGGAAGCCCAUGACAUCAAAAGAUUUAUGCAGCUAAGCGCCGUAAGGAUUUGGAGCUACAUAUGGGCACCUAAUAUACCUGAAAUUAAGGACAUUUCAGGAGGAGCCUAAGACUCAGAAGAUAAAGGAGCUUAAACCGAGAUAUAUGGGACCAUAUCCUAUUUUGGAGCGGAUUGGAGCAGUUGCUUACCGACUAGAUUUAUCAGGAGAGUUAUCAAAUUUCCAUGACGUGUUUCAUGUUUCCGUUUUGAGGAAACUAGUGAGAGAGCCAGAGCUCAUUUUCCAGCAACCACCUAGAAACCUUGGCAAAGGUUUACGUGGGUUCUGCCAGCCAGUAGAGAUAUUGGAUCGCCAAGUGAAAGCAGAUCGUGGAAUGAUGACCAUGUUGAUCAAGGUUCGUUGGGAGAGAGACGGAAUUCAGGAGGAUACCUAGGAGUCCGAGCCCCAAAUGAGGAUUGAUUAUCCAGAGCUGUUUCGGGGUGUCAUUGGAGAGUUUGGUGAUGUGAAUUCGGGGUCGAAUUCCUUGUUAGUGGGGGAGAAUUGUAAUGACCCACCAUCUCCACUAUCCCCACUAUCUCCACCAUCUCCACCAUCCCCACCACUUCCACCAUCUCCACCAUCCCCAACUUCUUUAAAGAGAGAGAGAGAGAGAGAGAGAGAGAGAGAGAGAGAGAGAGAGAAAGAGAGAGAAAGCUCACCUGAGCUCGUCGCCGGAGCAACCGUGUGCCGUGAUCACGUUCAGCUUGCCACCACCGAUAAACGCCCUAGACCACCAUCAUGUUCCUCUCGUCGAGACGAAGCCGUAGACACCAACCACGCCUCAAUCGGAGCCAGGACGAAGUCGCACGCGCCUCCGGAAGUUUCGCCUCUGCGCGCGCGUGAGGUAUACGCGCCGCCGCCGUCCGCCGGAGCCACUGCAAAUUUCGGCCACUCGCCGCCGUCUCCGACCAACGUUCGCCAGAGCCGCCGUG